rnacentral:snoRNA from 1 species
CAAAGUGAUGUGAAAAAAAUUCUUAUCUACAUUGCCUGAAUCAUAUAGAUGAAAAACUAUCUUGUUUACUGAUU